rnacentral:rRNA from 1 species
UACGUAGGGUGCAAGCGUUAAUCGGAAUUACUGGGCGUAAAGCGUGCGCAGGCGGUUUUGUAAGUCUGUCGUGAAAUCCCCGGGCUUAACCUGGGAAUGGCAUUGGUGACUGCACGGCUAGAGUGUGUCAGAGGGGGGGUAGAAUUCCACGUGUAGCAGUGAAAUGCGUAGAGAUGUGGAGGAAUACCGAUGGCGAAGGCAGCCCCCCUGGGAUAACACUGACGCUCAUGCACGAAAGCGUGGGGAGCAAACAGG